rnacentral:rRNA from 1 species
GUGAACGCUGGCGGUAGGCCUAACACAUGCAAGUCGAACGGCAGCACAGUAAGAGCUUGCUCUUACGGGUGGCGAGUGGCGGACGGGUGAGGAAUACAUCGGAAUCUACUUUUUCGUGGGGGAUAACGUGGGAAACUUACGCUAAUACCGCAUACGACCUACGGGUGAAAGCAGGGGAUCUUCGGACCUUGCGCGAUUGAAUGAGCCGAUGUCGGAUUAGCUAGUUGGCGGGGUAAAGGCCCACCAAGGCGACGAUCCGUAGCUGGUCUGAGAGGAUGAUCAGCCACACUGGAACUGAGACACGGUCCAGACUCCUACGGGAGGCAGCAGUGGGGAAUAUUGGACAAUGGGCGCAAGCCUGAUCCAGCCAUACCGCGUGGGUGAAGAGGGCCUUCGGGUUGUAAAGCCCUUUUGUUGGGAAAGAAAAGCAGCAGGUUAAUACCCCGCUGUUCUGACGGUACCCAAAGAAUAAGCACCGGCUAACUUCGUG